rnacentral:lncRNA from 1 species
CUCAGAAGUCGUUGCCACCUGUCACAUACGAACGAUUAAGUUGUCAUCAUCCUCUUCAUGUAGCUCUACUGCUGCUGCAACGGUGUCGUUUCGCCACUGACAAUUAAAAAGUUAAAACCACCAACCUCUCUCGAUCAAGUCAUCAGCACGAAUCACAUUCCGAGCUAAACGACGACGUUUUAGUGGUAAAACUAUAGAAAUUGUUUCAGAGUUCUUAGUGCUAUUUAACCCUACUGGAAUAUACUCAUACUUAUUGCUACAUAUUAUUAUUAUUAUUAUUAUUAUUAUUAUUAUUAUUAUUAUUGAAGAUGCAUAAGUUAAUUGAUAGAUUACUGAGUGUUACACAGAGAAAUUAACAGGGUUAAAUUAUUGAAUGUGUAGCAUUAUGGUAAUAUAGAUUGAGAUUUAUGUGGUCAACCAAUAAUUUGAGAAGAUUUGAUGAUCAAUUCAAAGAUUCAAAGUUGUUGUAACAAAGAAGUAGACUUGAGCUUUUAAGAUUAGCAUUUGGCUCAGGUGCUUACUGUAGAAGAAUGGAUUGGUCCAUGCAAUUACCAUUAUAAAUUUAAUUACCAUGAUAAACCAUGUGCCUUCAGAUCUUCCACGAUUAGUGCUGCAUUUUCUUCUGCUUGCAUCUGUUCUGUAUGUAAGUCUGCUGAUAAAUUUCAUUUAUUUUUUCUAUGUAUAUGAAAUAUGAAAACCAACAUUUUUGCUAACUCGUGUUUGGAUUUCUUAGAGUUGAGGUGAUUAUGUAUAUAACUUAAACGACUUGUACUAUUGCUGGUGAAUAUGGAUUGAGAUGGAUGUAGGUGAUCGAUCAAUAAAUUUGAGAAUUUCUUGAAAGUCUAUGCAAAGCUGGGAAUAUAUAAUAAACAAUUGAGAUCAUAUUAUACAGAAUAUGCCAUUAUCCUUUUUUUUCCCGCUAUUUACAAUUAUUUCUUACUAAGUCUCCCCCCUGAAACUCUAUCCAAUAGAAUGGAAACAGAACAUAAUGAUAACAUGCACCCAGUUAGGCCUCCUUGCUGAACCAACAACCAAGCAUUAAAAUACUAGAGUGAUCCUUAGUUUAUGCGAACCUAUUCAACUAGGUUUUGCUGAUAUUUCAGAAUCUGUGAGUUAGGAUCCUUGAAAAAUCAUAGUCAUGUCCAGCUGAAUGCUAUUGGACUAGCAACCUUAUGGUUUCCAUCUGACCAUUCCAGAUAAGCAAAGCUAUUUGUGCCGGAAGGCAUCGAAGUAGUUGUAAAUGUC